rnacentral:rRNA from 1 species
UACGGAGGGUGCAAGCGUUAUCCGGAUUUAUUGGGUUUAAAGGGUCCGUAGGCGGACUUAUAAGUCAGUGGUGAAAGCCUGUCGCUUAACGAUAGAACUGCCAUUGAUACUGUAAGUCUUGAGUAUAUUUGAGGUAGCUGGAAUAAGUAGUGUAGCGGUGAAAUGCAUAGAUAUUACUUAGAACACCAAUUGCGAAGGCAGGUUACCAAGAUAUAACUGACGCUGAGGGACGAAAGCGUGGGGAG